AUUGAACGCUGGCGGCAUGCCUUACACAUGCAAGUCGAACGGCAGCACGGGUGCUUGCACCUGGUGGCGAGUGGCGAACGGGUGAGUAAUACAUCGGAACAUGUCCUGUAGUGGGGGAUAGCCCGGCGAAAGCCGGAUUAAUACCGCAUACGAUCUACGGAUGAGAGCGGGGGCCCUUCGGGCCUCGCGCUCUAGGGUUCGCCGAUGGCUGAUUUGCUAUUUGGUGGGGUAAAGGCCUACCAAGGGGACGACCAGUAGCUGGUCUGAGAGGACGGCCAGCCACACUGGGACUGGGGAACGGCCCAGACUUCUACGGGAGGCAAGAGUGGGGAAUUUUGGACAAUGGGGGAAAGCCUGAUCCAGCAAUGCCGCGUGUGUGGAGGAGGCCUUCGGGUUGUAAAGCACUUUUGUCCGGAAAGAAAGCCUUGGCCCUAAUACGGUCGGGGGAUGACGGUACCGGAAGAAUAAGCACCGGCUAACUACGUGC
rnacentral:rRNA from 1 species